AUUGAACGCUGGCGGCAGGCCUAACACAUGCAAGUCGAGCGGAUGAAGGGAGCUUGCUCCUGGAUUCAGCGGCGGACGGGUGAGUAAUUCCUAUGAAUCUGCCUGGUAGUGGGGGAUAACGUCCGGAAACGGGCGCUAAUACCGCAUACGUCCUGAGGGAGAAAGUGGGGGAUCUUCGGACCUCACGCUAUCAGAUGAGCCUAGGUCGGAUUAGCUAGUUGGUGGGGUAAAGGCCUACCAAGGCGACGAUCCGUAACUGGUCUGAGAGGAUGAUCAGUCACACUGGAACUGAGACACGGUCCAGACUCCUACGGGAGGCAGCAGUGGGGAAUAUUGGACAAUGGGCGAAAGCCUGAUCCAGCCAUGCCGCGUGUGUGAAGAAGGUCUUCGGAUUGUAAAGCACUUUAAGUUGGGAGGAAGGGCAGUAAGUUAAUACCUUGCUGUUUUGACGUUACCAACAGAAUAAGCACCGGCUAACUUCGUG
rnacentral:rRNA from 1 species